UGUAUGUAAAGCUUAAAAAAAUAAAUAAUGUAUGAAACCCAAUAUAGAAUAGAUAAAAACUAUGUUUUAUUAGAAACUUUGUUUAAUUUGUUUAAUUCAGUAUUAAGACAGAUCAGGAUUUGCUAUAAGAACAAGUAAACCCAACAUCUCAGCACAAAGAUUGGUUUCUUCCUCAUGCCACACGGUUCAGGGCAACUCAAGGAACUCUUCUUGGCAGAUCUCCUCCAUCUCUCCAACCAGUGAUCCAGAUAUCCACCCUCUUACCACUUGUGGUUCUAUCAGAAUAAAGCUCUAGCUUCCAUGGAAGGGGAAGAAAGAGUAUACACCACUUCUGCCCACAUCCCAGUGGCCCUUAGGAUCCAGUGACAUGCCUCACUUCAAAUGCAAAAGACUCUAGGAAAUGUAAUCUUUCUUGGCUGGAAAAGGGAAAUGAUACUCGUUUUGAUCUCUCUACCAUAAAAUCUGUGAUAUUGACUUCUUUACAGUUUAUUAGUCAGUUUUGUGUCACUGUAACAAAAUUAACUGAGAUAAUAAACUUAUAAGGAAGAAAGGUUUAUUUUGGCUCAAAGUUUCAUAGGUGUCAGUCCAUGGUCAUUUGGUGCUGUGGCUUUGAGCCUGUGGUGGCAUAAUAUAUCAUGGCAAGAACAUAUGGCAGAAGAGGGUUGUUCACCUCAUGAUGGCCAGGAAGCAAACACAGAGGAAGAAGAGGAGCCGUGGUCCUAAUGACCUAACUUCCUUCCAUUAGGAUCUACCUCCUAAAGGUUCCCCUGCCUUCCAGUAGAGCCAUGAGCUAAGGAGACAUUCCAGUUCUGAAUGACAGAAUAAAUCUAUCACUGCGAACAAGGAAAGAUAGAUCAAAAGAUAAUCAAAAGAUAGAUCAAAAAGAAUAAGAAAUUAGACAUUAUGGAUGAUACACAGUUGUAUUUCAAUCCCGGAACUGAUCUUUUUAAGCUGCAAAAUUUUUAAACAUUUGUAAGAUGCAAAUAUGAAGAAAAACUCCAGGUUGCCAAGGAAUAGAAGUUGGAAAUGUUGGCAGUAUUUGAAAACUUGUUUUGUUGUUGUAGUUGUUCUUCAAUUUCAGGAUUCUCUAGAGUUACACAGACAUAACAGGAGAGACUUUAGUGUCAAACUUGCUGACAACCAAGCAAAUGGCAGAAGAAACUGUGUUGGCCAGCUCCAAAAUGUUAAACGUUAGUAUACAACAUAUUCAAGAGUUCUCAUUAUAUUUUGUGUUAGCUUCCCAUCAUUGUAACAAAAUAUUUGAGAUAA
rnacentral:lncRNA from 1 species